rnacentral:rRNA from 1 species
GGGUGGUAAAUUUCUUCUAAAGCUAAAUACUGGCCGGAGACCGAUAGCGCACAAGUAGAGUGAUCGAAAGAUGAAAAGCACUUUGGAAAGAGAGUCAAAUAGCACGUGAAAUUGUUGAAAGGGAAGCGCUUGCAGCCAGACUUGCCUGUGGUUGCUCAUCCGGACUUUUGUCCGGGGCCCUCUUCUGCGGGCAGGCCAGCAUCAGUUUAGCCGGUUGGAUAAAGGUCUCUAUCACGGACCCCCCUUCGGGGUUGGCCUUAUAGGGGAGACGACAUGCACCCGGCCUGAACUGAGGUCCGCGCAUCUGCUAGGAUGCUGGCGUAAUGUCUGUAAGCGGCCCGUCUUGAAACACGGAC